rnacentral:rRNA from 1 species
GCCAGACUCCUACGGGAGGCAGCAGUGGGGAAUAUUGGGCAAUGGAGGCAACUCUUACCCAGCAAUGCCGCGUGAAUGAAGAAGGUCUUCGGAUUGUAAAGUUCUUUAAUUGGGGACGAAAAAAAUGACGGUACCCAAGGAAUAAGCCCCGGCUAACUACGUGCCAGCAGCCGCGGUAAUACGUAGGGGGCAAGCGUUGUUCGGAAUUACUGGGUGUAAAGGGAGCGUAGGCGGGAGAGCAAGUCGACUGUGAAAUCUAUGGGCUUAACCCAUAGCUGCGAUCGAAACUGUUCAUCUUGAGUGAAGUAGAGGCAGGCGGAAUUCCUAGUGUAGCGGUGAAAUGCGUAAAUAUUAGGAGGAACACCAGUGGCGAAGGCGGCCUGCUGGGCUUUAACUGACGCUGAGGCUCGAAAGCGUGGGUAGCAAACAGGAUUAGAUACCCUUGUAC